UCAAGAUGGCUGCUUCUUAAGUACCCGGAUUGACCGAACGCUCGGCAAAGAUGGCUUCCGUGGAAUCAAUAAACCUCCGUGAUACGUUCCUGGGAAUACUUUCCCAAUUAAACACGGAUUAUUAAAUUAUCGGGUAAUCGAAAUGUACGAUCGCUUGCCCCAUGCAAAUUACUUGACAGCCUCAAAAUGGCGCUAGCUGAAAUCUCUAGCGGGUGGCGUGACCCAAAAAGGAACCAAGAUGGCGAGCAUUAUACGGAUCGGGAAUCAACAAGAUGGCGCUAACGGGCUGAAUUACCCGGAUGUUGAAGCCAGGAACUAAUGUGACGCGUUAGGAAUAAUGAAUAAGAGUGCUGUCGUGACGCUAGUUUUCCAGCAUGACCAAAGCCGUUCCUCGAGGGAUGCGCGGAUUGGUCUACAAGAUGGCGGUUCAGAUGUUCGGUUACUACGAUACGGAUUUUUAGGAGACUUAUUAUCGCUGUCGAGUUUCUCUUGAACGGAGAAAGAUGAUAUUACUAGGACAUAAAAAUAAUAACACUAUCUUAGCAACUACUCUGGCAGUUUUUCCCUGGGACCCGCUUCGGCGCUGAAAUUAUAGCCCCCACCAGUCUCAACGGGCAAGACGCAGAAACCUCUCCCGGAUAGACCCUUCUUGGCCGCUUCUGGGAAGACCCGGAUGUGUUGGGCUGCCGGUCUGGCCGCCCGAGAUAAGGAAGCGCUUGCUCUUUGCCCAUUUCGCUCCCUUCCUGACCUUCGGCCCUGGGCGCGUUGGCCUCACAAUAAGCAACCGUGAAUCCCGAAAGAUUCAUUUUGGAGCCCACCUGCAGAGGAUUACGCUGCGCUGAAACCUGUUAAACUUGUCCACUAGGUAUCAGCCUAGUCCUCUGCAUGGUUACUCGGAAGUAAGUGAAUGGGGCUUAUGUCUAAGUCAAUCAAUUCAAGCUUUACAUAUUAAUAAUAAUUAUGAGACUGUUGCCAAUAUAGUACUGUAGGGACGUUGGUUUGGAGCAGUAAUUUAGAGGUACUGCUGCCUUUGUAGAAUAGAUCGAGGAAAAUUAACUAUACCUGUAUUUUGAACAGUCUAUUUUACUUUCUUCUAUUAUUUCUCACUACCCAACACUUAGAUUCCCAAAAGUAGGGGCUUGUCGUUUUCGGUUAUAUUACUAAUUAAAACAAUAUCUACCAAUGUAGUUGGGUAAAUAAUGCCGAUAACUGAAUAACUUCGUUGAAAUAAGCAUGACUGGGGAGAUAAUUUUUUAGCUAUUAUGAUUGAGAGUGACCUAGAAAUCAGAACAAGAAGUGGGAAUAGAUUUAAUUAUAGUUAGAAAUAAGAAAACGUUUUAUAUCAAAUACAGUACAUAUGGGAUAAUUUCACAAAGGAAAUGGAAGUAUUUUGUGUUUGAAGCAGAGAGUAGCCAUCCUGCUAAAAAGAAUUCAUAUAUUUUUGUAGAUUGUUAAAGGAAUUUGCUGAUCAUACUGUAUCUCCUGUGCUAUUAUAACCAUAGAUCCCAAAUUUGUUUUCUUAUUCUGUAUAGCAGUAAUAAGUUAGAGCAGUUCUAUUUUUAUUUUAAGUAUGUAUGUUAAAUUCCUGACUCACAUCCUGGGGAAGAGAGGAUGGGGUAAAGUGUAUAAAACUGGAAAUAAAUGAUUUAUGUAUUGUAAGGGCAUGAAGCAAGAUCAUGAAGCUUUGCUAAUUUUUUCUUGCUGAAGGUAUAGAUACCAAUUUAAUACACACUUAUGAUCAGAAGGUACGAUGCCUGGAGAGAAACAGGGAAUAUCUCAUUCAUGAGUUCAAAAUAAAUAAUUACUUUGUUUUGUAAAUUGAAUGCAGAAGUUUUUCUUCUAUAGUAAGUGUAAGUCUUUUUGCCUUUUUUUCCUGAUUAAUCUGUACUUGCUUUUUUUUCUCAUCCAUACAGUAUAUUUAUCUAAAACUAAGGGUCACCACUAAGAUUCAGGUCAGAAUGUAAUAUAUACUUUAAAAAUAAAUUUAAAAAACAGAAAAAGCAGGUGGGAACUAGAAGUGAGCUAAAUUUUGAGGAUUUCAAAGUUGAUUAAUUUCAACACCACCAUGAUGCAAAAGCUUUUUCUACCUUUGGUUGCUUUUAUUAUCACAUUCUUUUCUCUUUGUAUAGCCUACACAGUUGGAGGUGGGUGUCUGUUUCAUGAUGAGAUUGUGACAGAAGGCUGUAAACUGUACCUUUGAAGAGAUUAGGAAAUCAACUUGGCCCAGUACAACUUCUUUAAGCAUCUUUUGAUUAACGCAAUUCCCCUUAACCUGGUUGGGCAUAUUUUGUUUUCCUGCUUUAUGCCUGCACUAUUUUUAUUUUUAUGGUUAUGUAUAUACUGUCUAUAUACAUACAUAUAUAUAUUAUAUAUAUACAUCACUGGGGAAGGCAAUGGCAAACCACCCCGCUAUAGUCUGCCAAGAAAACGUCAUGAAAGCGGCGUCCCCUGCAAAGGGUCAGACAUGACUCGGUGCUUGCACAGGGGACCUUUCACCUUUCAUAUACUGUCUAAAAAUCCUAAUGCCACCACAAGAAUUUCUCAGAUAGUUUGCCCUUCUUUGUUUUCUUCAUACUGAAAUAUUUGUUUUCCCCUUUUAAAUAUUAGGCAACAAUUUUGGGUUUCCUCUCCAGAUUUGAAAGGUUCCCAUCUCAAGGUGUUGAGGACUGCUAAACGGGGCAGUUGGCAUUUUGAACCAGUGCUUGGGCAGGGUAAUGGAUUAGAUGAGGGCCAAUAAACAGACUCGGUCCAGAUACGACGGAGAUGCUGUUUGCAGGUGAUGCAUCUGUCCAGCUGCGUGGUGCCCUGCCUGUGUUGGAGUGGUCUGAACUUGCCCUAAAGAAGCCAAUUUGCAGUUUGGGAGUGCGCCUAGAUCCAUCCCUGCCACUUGGGCCUUGAUGGCAUGGAGUGCCUUUUAUCAGCCUUGGCUGAUUUACCAACUGCGAUGUUACUAGACAGAAAUAGCUUCAUAACAGUUAUUCACACUUUGGUAACUUCCCAGUCGAAUUAUUGCAAUGUGUUGUAUAUAUGGCUGCCUUUGAAAAUGGUCUGCAAACUUCAGUUAGUUCAAAACAGAGCAGCUAGGCUGCUUACUGGGACAGGCUGAUGUGAACAUAAUGAUGUCCAUUCUUUGUCAUCUACACUGACUGCCGGUCCAUUUCUGAACUCAAUUCAAAGUGCUGUUGUUGACAUUAAAGGCCCUAAACUGCUUGGGACCAGGUUUGCUUGAAGGAGUGCCUUCUCCUAUAUGUACCUACAGGGAUAUUAAGAUUAUCAAUUGAGGCCCUUCAGCAGGUCCCCUUACCAAAGGAGGUGAGCCAGGCCUCUACAAGGGGAAGAAAUUUUUCUGUGGUGGCACCCCAUUCAUGGAGUUCCCUCCCCAGAGAGUCUUGGUUGGUACCCAUAUUAGCAUCGUUUUGGUGCCAGGUGAAAACCUUUGUAUUUUCCUGGGCUUUUUAACUUUUAAUCGUAUUUUAAUUCAUACCAUUCUGAUUUUUGAAUAACAGCUGUCUAGUUAUGUAAUGUUUUUAUUUUAUUGUAUUUUAUUUUAUAUGUUUUUAUUCAAAUUGCAUUUUAGUGUGUUUUAUUGUACAUUUCCCAGAGAGCUUCAGCUAUUGGGUGGGGUGGUUUAUAAAUAAAUAAUAAAUAAUGAAAUGUUUAAAAAAUUAAAAUAUGUAACAAAUUUUGCAAAACACUUUGGAAUUCUUUUAUUAAUGCAUUUUAAAACUUAAACUGACUCUUCAAAGCAUUUCUGUUUUUCCCUCCACUCAUUCUUUAAUUUUCCAUAAGAAUGUGCAAUGUUCAUGUAAAAACUACAUUUGAAAUAUACAUUCUUUGGAUUGCAGUUUAGGAAAUGUGUAACAUUCAUGAUCUAGUCCUGGACAUCCCUAUAUCUUAUGUAGUUGUCCUUGUGGAGACAUUGUUUCCUGUAGAUACAUGCAACACUGUGUUUAUCUUUCUCACCAGUGUCUCCUGUGAUUACUCUAAGAAAUGUGUUGCUUGGUCCCUCUUUUUCUAA